ensembl:lncRNA
GUGGGGUGGCGCGGAACCCGCAAGAUUGUAUACGCUGGGAGAAGAGGGAAAGCCCUGUAGAGACUUUAGCAAAACUUAAACCCGCAGCAAUUGCUUCUGGUGGUCCGUUCGGUAAUCUCCUACAGAAGAUCCACGCGUCCGGGUCUCUUGAUACUCAUUUGUCACCAAUGUCCUAAAUGUUUUCUAACUAGAAUGAGCCCUGAGACACCCUGGGUAUUCCUGCCGGACUCCUCACACCGCCACAUCCUGGCUUUGCGAGCGUUUGUGGACGGGCGCCCUCUCUGUCCAGCCCUAGAAAUAACCAGUUGUCCCACAGCCUCGGCUACUUACAGAUUAGGAUCUACCAUUGGAUCAUGAGAUUUGGAGCCUAAGAAACAGGGCCUUCUUCCUCAAAACAACAUUACAUCAUGACUGCCGAUUCUCAUCGCCACAGGAAAACAAAAACAGCAAAUAAUUCAGGAGUUCAUAACCCAUCAGCACAACAGACUUUGGGUGAGUAAAUCUUACAUAACCAAGGGAAGCAGGUAUAGGACUUUAAACUGUAAAGAUUUGAUACUUUUGCAGAAUAACAUUCCAAAUUAAUGACAAAUAAAUGUAUAAUAACUGA